GACCCCAAUUUGCCCCAGCUUGUGCAAGAAAUUAAGGACAAACUUGUGAAGGGUACCGUUGAGUGUAUGAUCUGUUAUGAUAUGGUGCGGAGGUCAGCACCCAUUUGGUCUUGUUCAAGCUGUUAUUCCAUUUUUCAUUUGAAUUGCAUCAAGAAAUGGGCUCGUGCUCCAACUUCUAUUGAUUUGUCAGCUGAGAAGAGUCAGGGUUUUAAUUGGCGAUGCCCAGGUUGUCAGUCUGUGCAGCUUACAUCGUUGAGGGAGAUUCAAUAUGUUUGUUUUUGUGGGAAGAGGACUGACCCGCCUUCAGAUUUGUAUUUGACCCCACAUUCCUGUGGUGAACCAUGUGGAAAGCCACUUGAGAGGAGAGUUUCAGAUGCUGGUGAGAGCAAGGAGGAUCUUUGUCCUCAUGUUUGUGUUUUGCAAUGCCACCCAGGUCCCUGCCCUCCUUGUAAAGCAUUUGCUCCACCACGGGUGUGCCCUUGUGGGAAGAAAAUAAUCACAACAAGAUGCUCUGAUCGGAUGUCUGUACUUACUUGUGGUCAACGUUGUGAUAAGCUUCUUGAAUGUGGGCGUCAUCGGUGUGAGAAGAUAUGCCAUGUGGGUACUUGUGAUCCUUGUCAGGUUCUAGUAAAUGCUUCAUGUUUUUGCAAGCUAAAAGCAGAGGUUGUCCUAUGUGGAGACAUGGCUGUAAAAGGCGAGGUUAAAGCUGAAGAUGGUGUUUUUUCUUGUAACUCGACAUGCAGAAAGCUGUUGGGUUGUGGAAAUCAUGAGUGUGGCGAAACUUGCCAUCCAGGGCCUUGUGGGCAUUGUGACUUGAUGCCAGGCAGGGUGAAUUCGUGCUUUUGUGGGAAAAUGAGUUUACAGGAGGAAAGAAAGAGUUGUUUGGACCCAAUUCCAAAUUGUACACAAAUAUGUGGCAAACCCCUUCCUUGUGUGAUACACCACUGUAAGGAGGUCUGCCAUGCUGGGGAUUGUCCACCUUGUCUAGUUCUUGUCACCCAAAAAUGCCGCUGUGGAUCCACCUCUCGAACUGUGGAAUGCUACAAAACAAGUGCAGAGCAUGAAAAAUUUACAUGUGAGAAAU
rnacentral:misc_RNA from 1 species